AUUGAACGCUGGCGGCAGGCUUAACACAUGCAAGUCGAGCGGAAACGAUGGGAGCUUGCUCCCAGGCGUCGAGCGGCGGACGGGUGAGUAACGCGUAGGAAUCUACCCAGUAGUGGGGGAUAGCCCGGGGAAACUCGGAUUAAUACCGCAUACGCCCUACGGGGAAAGGCCGGGAUCUUCGGACCGGUCGCUAUUGGAUGAGCCUGCGUAAGAUUAGCUAGUUGGUGGGGUAAAGGCCUACCAAGGCGACGAUCUUUAGCUGGUCUGAGAGGAUGAUCAGCCACACUGGAACUGAGACACGGUCCAGACUCCUACGGGAGGCAGCAGUGGGGAAUAUUGGACAAUGGGCGCAAGCCUGAUCCAGCCAUGCCGCGUGUGUGAAGAAGGCUCUAGGGUUGUAAAGCACUUUCAGUAGGGAGGAAGGCCAGAGGCUUAAUAAGUCUUUGGAUUGACGUUACCUACAGAAGCAGCACCGGCUAACUCCGUG
rnacentral:rRNA from 1 species